rfam:Oryza glumipatula chromosome 12, whole genome shotgun sequence.
AAAAAAACAAAUCCUGACUUUCCGUGUCAAACAUUUGACUAUCCGUCUUAUGUUAAUCUUUUUAUAAUUAGUAUUUUAAUUGUUAUUAAAUGAUAAAACAUAAUUAAUAUUUUAUGCGUGAUUUGUUUUUUUAAUUUUUUUAAUGAUUUUUUCAAAUAAAACGGACGGUCAAACGUUGGACAUAGAAACCCAAGUUUGUCUUCUUC